UACGAAGGGUGCAAGCGUUAAUCGGAAUUACUGGGCGUAAAGGGUGCGUAGGCGGUUCGUUAAGUCUGUCGUGAAAUCCCCGGGCUCAACCUGGGAAUGGCGAUGGAUACUGGCGAGCUAGAGUGUGAUAGAGGAUGGUGGAAUUCCCGGUGUAGCGGUGAAAUGCGUAGAGAUCGGGAGGAACAUCAGUGGCGAAGGCGGCCAUCUGGAUCAACACUGACGCUGAGGCACGAAAGCGUGGGGAGCAAACAGG
rnacentral:rRNA from 1 species